rnacentral:rRNA from 1 species
CUCUUCAGCCAUAUUCAAUAUUGUUUUAAAAUAUAUUUGGGCCCAAGCAGGGUUGGGCCCGGUUAGUACUUGGAUGGGAGACCACCUAGGGAGAUCAGGUGCUGUAGGUG